rnacentral:tRNA from 1 species
GGUCGCGUGGCUCAAUUGGCAGAGCAUCGUGUUUGAAACGUGAAGGUGUGAGUUCGAGUCUCACCGUGACCA